rnacentral:rRNA from 1 species
UACAGAGGUCCCAAGCGUUGUUCGGAUUCAUUGGGCGUAAAGGGUGCGUAGGUGGCGCUGUAAGUCAGGUGUGAAAUUUCGGGGCUUAACCCCGAAACUGCACUUGAUACUGCGGUGCUUGAGGACUGGAGAGGAGACUGGAAUUUACGGUGUAGCAGUGAAAUGCGUAGAUAUCGAGAGGAACACCAGUGGCGAAGGCGAGUCUCUGGACAAUUCCUGACGCUGAGGCACGAAAGCUAGGGGAGCAAACAGG